rnacentral:rRNA from 1 species
AGUGAACGCUGGCGGUAGGCCUAACACAUGCAAGUCGAACGGCAGCACAGUAAGCGCUUGCUCUUACGGGUGGCGAGUGGCGGACGGGUGAGGAAUACAUCGGCAUCUACUUUUUCGUGGGUGAUAACGUAGGGAAACUUACGCUAAUACCGCAUACGACCUACGGGUGAAAGCAGUGGAUCUUCGGACCUUUCGCGAUUGAAUGAGCCGAUGUCGGAUUAGCUAGUUGGCGGGGUAAAGGCCCACCAAGGCGACGAUCCGUAGCUGGUCUGAGAGGAUGAUCAGCCACACUGGAACUGAGACACGGUCCAGACUCCUACGGGAGGCAGCAGUGGGGAAUAUUGGACAAUGGGCGAAAGCCUGAUCCAGCCAUACCGCGUGGGUGAAGAGGGCCUUCGGGUUGUAAAGCCCCUUUGUUGGGAAAGAAAAGCAGCAGGUUAAUACCCCGAUGUUCUGACGGUACCCAAAGAAUAAGCACCGGCUAACUUCGUG